ensembl:snoRNA SNORD116 Small nucleolar RNA SNORD116
AGAUUAGAAAUUAUUCAGCAAUUAUAAAUAUAUUAGAAUCUGAACGAAAUAAGUGAGAACUCCCUACUAUCGUUCUCUUCGGAUCUAAGGUCC